UGAGCAGAGAGCCUGAGGUGGGGCUUGAUCCCAGGACCCUGAGAUCAUGACCUGAGCCGAACCAGAGGCUAUUAACCCACUGAGCCAUGCACGUGCCCCUGUGGUUUCUAUUUUUUUUUAAUAUUUUAUUUGCUUAUUUAUUUGUUUGACAGAGACACAGCGAGAGAGGGAACACAAGCAGGGGGAGUGUGAGAGGGAGAAGCUGGCCUCCCGCUGAGCAGAGAACCCGAUGUGGGGCUCGAUCUCAGGACCCCGGGAUCAUGAUCUGAGCCAAAGGCAGAUACUUAACAACUGAGCCAUCUAAGGGCCCUGGAAUCUGUAAUUUCUACUAGAUUUUCCCCCCUUAGCUCAUAUUUAACCUGAGACUUUUCUGGAAGGUCAAAUAUCAUCCAGAUCAAUACUAACAAAGCCCACCAGCAAUUCAGUUCAAUUCAAUGUUAUCCCAUUCUGGCCAAUGAAACAAAUAUACUUUUUUCCCUAAAGUACCAGUCUAAGGAGUAUUCGAAUUGCUUCUACUCAUGUCUGACUCUGUGCUAGGCUCUGUGAGGGCGAGAAGAGAAGAGGACGCCAUACUGUCUUCUAGAAGUUAAUGGCCUGGUUGGGCAACAGAACCGGGCUCUGAGAAGCGAUUGAAAACGGCCGGGCACAGAGGCGGAGAGAGAGAAAAUAUUGUAUGUCCAGCCCUUGUCCAUCCUUGAACACGGAAAUGGCCCAGCAUGCCGAAGGUGCCAUAUCCCAACAGGAGCUCAAAAACAGGUCUUUUUUUAAAUUUAUAAGUAAUCGCUUUUAUUGCACAUUUUACUAUGUUUUACUAUGUGCUG
rnacentral:lncRNA from 1 species